AUUAUGUAUUUGUGCUGCACUGUUGUUCAAGCCAUCAUUGGGUCAAAAAUAAUGUCAAUUUUUAAAUCUCUGCCUUUCCAGGUCAACAAGUUCAAUCCAAUGGGAGAUGUUUUAGGAUCUGGGAUGGGAGUGAACAUCCUAGUGUGGAACAGAGGGGAGACAUUGGCUGGUAAGCAGCAGAGAGGAGAGCUACAACAGGAAGCAGGAGUCCAGGUUGGCAGAGGUCGAGACCAGCGGAGGAGAAGAGGGGAGACUCGGAGGGGGGGAGGGGCGGGGGGGAGAGGAUGA
rnacentral:lncRNA from 1 species